CUGAGCUGCUACUGAGCCCUCUGCUCUCCCCUCCUGAGGUGGAGUCAGUGUGCUGGACCAAGGCUAUUGCUACUCAAGAUGACCUGAGUUUGACCCCAGGAACCCAGAGUGAAAUGAGAGAGCUGACUCCCAGAAGAUGGCUUCAGACCACCACAACACAGAUAUCGGUCCAGAGAGGUUGCCGUUGUGCCCAGGACCACACAGCCAAGCCUCUUGUUGGAUGGCAGGUCUUCAAGCCCUUCCCCCAGGAGCCUCAUCAGCCUCUAGCUCCCUCCCUCUAAUGCCUUGUUAAGUAUUUUCUCCUCUUGGUGGUCAUUUUUGUUGUACAAUCAAUAAACCACUCACAGAAA